rnacentral:rRNA from 1 species
UACAGAGGUCCCAAGCGUUGUUCGGAUUCACUGGGCGUAAAGGGUGCGUAGGCGGUCGGGUAAGUCUGAUGUGAAAUCUCACAGCUUAACUGUGAAAACUGCAUUGGAUACUAUCCGGCUCGAGGAAUGGAGGGGAGACUGGAAUACUUGGUGUAGCAGUGAAAUGCGUAGAUAUCAAGUGGAACACCAGUGGCGAAGGCGAGUCUCUGGACAUUUCCUGACGCUGAGGCACGAAAGCCAGGGAGCAAACGGG